CCCCUAGAUGUUCUGGGCCGCACGCGCGCUACACUGAACAGUUCAACAAGUCUUAACCUUGGCCGAUAGGUCUGGGUAAUCUUUGAACGCUGUUCGUGAUUGGGAUAGACCUUUGCAAUUAUGGGUCUUCAACGAGGAGUUCCUAGUAAACGCAAGUCAUCAGCUUGCAUUGAUUACGUCCCUGCCCUUUGUACACACCGCCCGUCGCACCUACCGAUUGAAUGGUCCGGUGAAAUCUCGGGACGGCGGCUUGGUCGCUUGCGUCCGACUGCUGAAACUUGAUUAAACCAUAUCAUUUAGAGGAAGGUGAAGUCGUANCA
rnacentral:rRNA from 1 species